CUAGGAGGGGGUCCAAACUACAGGAAGGACGAAUAUGUGAACCCUUUAUUAAGACCUCUCGGGGAUAAGCUGUUAAGCAGGGCCUCCAUAUCCGUAAAAACUGUUCGUGUCUGCGGUCGAUCCAGGAGGUAAUUUCCUCAAGCCGGAAAAUCUGAUCAACCCUAUUUAACCAUUCCUGUUGAGAAGGAAGGGAGGAACUCAACCAAUGUAAAGACGAACACAUCUGGAAAAGCCAUGUGAUCUGGAAAGGAUCUGCUGGUCAUCUGUGUCGGAAAAGGAG